CCCCACCCCGGCCGCGAUCCCCGGACCGGGAAGCCCGAGAGUUGGCUCCCGGCCGGCCCAGGGCCCCGCAGGCCCGCAAUCCCGAGGCCUGAACGGCGAACAGGUUCCCGCACCCGCCUGGCUUAGUGCUUCGGGUUGGGGAGGCACCUCGAGGCUGCCCCCCUGCCUCUCACCAGCUCCCUUUUCUCCCUUUCUCCCCCCUCGGGACGGGUCCCCUCGAGCCAGAAGGAAGCCCGGCAGCAGCCGGCGCCCACCCUCCGGGAGGACCACGCCCGCGCCCGCCGGCUCCCUCCAGCGGGACGCAGCAAAGGAACACUACAUGAACACUCUCGGCCCGGAUCUGGACACAGAAGACUCCUGUUUCAAGAAAAUACAGUCAUCUCUCAAAUCCUGUAAUUUAUAUGCAUUCUAAACUCACUAGGUAUUGAAAACCACCCAAGUGUCCCACAACAUGGGGUAAAAUAUAAUCAAUCACUCAGUGUAAUACUAUACAUCCUUUAAAAAUGUUAUUGGAAAGUGUUUUAUGAUCAGUAAGUCAAAAUAACUCUCUCCCACCGUUUCUUUCUCCUGCUGCUCCCUGAUACCCACGCUUCUUUGUUCCAUUUGGCACUUAAACUUGUUUUUCCUGCCAAAUGAGUCAGUCAUGAUGGGAACGUCAAUUGAUUUGAACAGAUGUGUGUCAAUGUUACUUGGGAAACUAGAUGCCAAUAACCAGGGCCACAAAAAAAGGCAGUGGUUGCAACUCUGUAAAAAUUUACGCGUGCAUACAGACAAUGACUAAAGUGGAACCCCAAACAGGAAAACAGUUGGAUACACUCCAGUGCUUGGAGAUUGAAUGAUUGUGUGCUGCUUUUGAUUUUCACUAAUACGAGUAACUGUCCAAUUAAAAAAGACCUACUAAGGA